rnacentral:rRNA from 1 species
GCGGCGGACGGGUGAGUAACGCGUGGAUAACCUGCCUCAUACAGGGGGAUAACAGUUAGAAAUGACUGCUAAUACCGCAUAAGCGCACAGGACCGCAUGGUCCGGUGUGAAAAACUCCGGUGGUAUGGGAUGGAUCCGCGUCUGAUUAGCUGGUUGGUGAGGUAACGGCCCACCAAGGCGACGAUCAGUAGCCGACCUGAGAGGGUGGCCGGCCACAUUGGGACUGAGAUACGGCCCAGACUCCUACGGGAGGCAGCAGUGGGGAAUAUUGGGCAAUGGGCGCAAGCCUGACCCAGCAACGCCGCGUGAAGGAAGAAGGCUUUCGGGUUGUAAACUUCUUUUAAGAGGGAAGAGCAGAAGACGGUACCUCUUGAAUAAGCCACGGCUAACUACGUGCCAGCAGCCGCGGUAAUACGUAGGUGGCAAGCGUUGUCCGGAUUUACUGGGUGUAAAGGGCGUGUAGCCGGGCUGACAAGUCAGAUGUGAAAUCCCGUGGCUCAACCACGGAACUGCAUUUGAAACUGUCGGUCUUGAGUAUCGGAGAGGCAGGCGGAAUUCCUAGUGUAGCGGUGAAAUGCGUAGAUAUUAGGAGGAACACCA